GACGAACGCUGGCGGCGUGCUUAACACAUGCAAGUCGAACGGAAAGGCCCUGCUUUUGUGGGGUGCUCGAGUGGCGAACGGGUGAGUAACACGUGAGUAACCUGCCCUUGACUUUGGGAUGACUUCAGGAAACUGGGGCUAAUACCGGAUAGGAGCUCCUGCUGCAUGGUGGGGGUUGGAAAGUUUCGGCGGUUGGGGAUGGACUCGCGGCUUAUCAGCUUGUUGGUGGGGUAGUGGCUUACCAAGGCUUUGACGGGUAGCCGGCCUGAGAGGGUGACCGGCCACAUUGGGACUGAGAUACGGCCCAGACUCCUACGGGAGGCAGCAGUGGGGAAUAUUGCACAAUGGGCGGAAGCCUGAUGCAGCAACGCCGCGUGCGGGAUGACGGCCUUCGGGUUGUAAACCGCUUUCGCCUGUGACGAAGCGUGAGUGACGGUAAUGGGUAAAGAAGCACCGGCUAACUACGUGCCAGCAGCCGCGGUGAUACGUAGGGUGCGAGCGUUGUCCGGAUUUAUUGGGCGUAAAGGGCUCGUAGGUGGUUGAUCGCGUCGGAAGUGUAAUCUUGGGGCUUAACCCUGAGCGUGCUUUCGAUACGGGUUGACUUGAGGAAGGUAGGGGAGAAUGGAAUUCCUGGUGGAGCGGUGGAAUGCGCAGAUAUCAGGAGGAACACCAGUGGCGAAGGCGGUUCUCUGGGCCUUUCCUGACGCUGAGGAGCGAAAGCGUGGGGAGCGAACAGGCUUAGAUACCCUGGUAGUCCACGCUGUAAACGGUGGGUACUAGGUGUGGGGUCCAUUCCACGGGUUCCGUGCCGUAGCUAACGCUUUAAGUACCCCGCCUGGGGAGUACGGCCGCAAGGCUAAAACUCAAAGGAAUUGACGGGGCCCCGCACAAGCGGCGGAGCAUGCGGAUUAAUUCGAUGCAACGCGUAGAACCUUACCUGGGUUUGACAUGGAUCGGGAGUGCUCAGAGAUGGGUGUGCCUCUUUUGGGGUCGGUUCACAGGUGGUGCAUGGCUGUCGUCAUCUCGUGUCGUGAGAUGUUGGGUUAAGUCCCGCAACGAGCGCAACCCUUGUUCACUGUUGCCAGCACGUUAUGGUGGGGACUCAGUGGAGACCGCCGGGGUCAACUCGGAGGAAGGUGGGGAUGACGUCAAGUCAUCAUGCCCCUUAUGUCCAGGGCUUCACGCAUGCUACAAUGGCUGGUACAGAGAGUGGCGAGCCUGUGAGGGUGAGCGAAUCUCGGAAAGCCGGUCUCAGUUCGGAUUGGGGUCUGCAACUCGACCUCAUGAAGUCGGAGUCGCUAGUAAUCGCAGAUCAGCAACGCUGCGGUGAAUACGUCCCCGGG
rnacentral:rRNA from 1 species